AAUUCUUAUAUAAAUUCAGCCUCAAUAAGGCUGUUAAAAAAUAGAAGCAACGUGAAGACUGUCUCAGACAUACAAAAGUAGAGAGACGCCACUGUCAGCAGCCGGCACCACCAGGCACUAAAGGACAUUUUAGAGUUGGUUUCCAGACAGAGGGAAAUGAUAAGAAAUAAAAAUGAGGGUCUACACAAAGGAACAGGAGUGGGUGUAAAAUGCAUCAGCAAAUACAAAGCGUGUUUUACCGUAUUUUGAAAUCUCUUUAUUGAACAUUGUUUUAAACAGUAAUAAUAAUACAUUUGGGGUUUAUAAGUAGAAGCAAAAUGUCUGCUAACAAUAGCACAAGGGCUGGGAGGUGGGAAAUGGAACCAGGCAGUUGUAAGAUUAUUAAAUUACAUGGGAAGUGAUGCCAUAUUAUUUGUUAUUCUUGGGUAUUCUUGAUAAGUUAAUGCUGUGUAUUGUCAACUCCAGAGCAACCAUUUAUAAAAACAAACAUGAUUCAUACACCACUUACAAAGCUAACAAAAAUGUAAUAUAAACCCAUGCACACUGUGUUCCAGCAGAACUUCAAAACAAUUCUUAAAUGAUGACUUGGUGGGAAUUAGUUACUAGAAUUUUCCUUCAUGGCCUUGCAGACCGAGGACUUCCGCCAGCUUUCGCAUGGGAGAGCGUCCUGGCACGGGGUGUCUUUGACGUGGGCAGACUGAGGACUUCAGCCAGCUUUCAAAUGGGAGAGCGUCCUGGCACGGGGUGUCGUUGACGUGGGCAGACCGAGGACUUCAGCCAGCUUUCACAUGGGAGAGCGUCCUGGCACGGGGCGUCGUUGAUGUGGGCCAUGAGUUUGCACCUUUUCAGAUGGUGGGAAGCCACUCACAAGUGACAGAGGGUGUCACAUGAUACACAAAACCGAAAGGAAGCCCUAAUCCCGGCAGGAAAGGUCUGUGUGAGGAUUCACCAAGAGUGGACGUCCAGGAGUGUGUGACGCCGGAGCCGGUGUGCCCCACGCAUGUGUAGGUGCUCACAGGCACACGCCUGCACGGAGGGCUGUCUGUCCAGGCCACUGCUGUGUGGUGGCCUCACUGCUGCCUUCCUUAAUGGCUGAUAACACUAAACUCUUUGAUGUAUCCAAUUCCCUGCUUUAUUUUAACUCAGAUUAUUCCUUACUGUGCCUUUGGCCAUCAAAUAUUGACUGCAUGAUAACAUUGUACUUUGUUUCUGUUGUCAGUGCAUGACGUUUUCCACUCUCUAGGGAGUUCCACUGCCAAGAGAACACAACUCAUCACCAGAGGAGACAGGAUCGGGGAGGAGGCGGCCAGGCCAGCCCUGGCCCCGGCCACAGGAACACUGGCGUCCCCUGGCUGGGAAAGGACAAGGAUGCUGACCUCAUUUCCCCACCCAUUGGUGGAUGCGUUCAUCAGAGUCUUCCAGAAACCGCGGUGGGGGGAUCGCCCAGGAUCGCACUCAGGAAUCCCGCCGAGGGAGCUCUGUGAAUGCAAUUUAGGCGACCGCACUUUCUAAUGUUUGAAAUAUUGCGUCUAAGGAGACAUUUCUCUAAAUGUCACAGGAGACACAUGCAUGUUUAAGAAAUGUACAUGAAAGAACAUACUUGAGUAUAUGCCAAGUAUGAUGACCUAGCUAUGAUAAUUUUCAAAAAUGUAGCAAUCGUAUUGUCAGAAACUAUUAUUUUAGAGGUUAGAAUGUUG
rnacentral:lncRNA from 10 species